UUGGUUGAUGACCACAACUUGGAUGAUUAUGGUUUAAUAUUAGGAAUCACCCAUUUGGAGAAACAACAAAUGCUUUCAAAACACUUCCUACUCUCAUCUUCACCGUGCAAGCGAAUAUCUAUAUGUGCCCCACCUCACCAUUCUUUUUAAAGCAAACCAAUCUUCUCAAGAAGUUGGAUGACACUACACUGUUUAGGUGGAUAAUAGAUGUUUAUUUAACCAUUUCUGUUUUGAUUUCUCAAAUUCGCAACAAAAGGUAGGGUCGUCUCUUCUCUUCUCCAUUGGCAGCUACCUUAGCUCAUCGUUUUAUUCCAUUAGUGGCUUUUCAAUUCUGUUUCAUGACAUGACUCCCUUAUACCCUAAUCUAUACUUGUCUCAUUAUUCAAUUAUAUGGUAUAAAGGAACCAAAACUUAAGGACCUUGUAUCAGGAUUUGGGGUGGUGAGGUUCUCAUGCGGUUCGUGGCUAGCACAUGAGCAGAUUGCAUAAAUCUUUCUAAUGGGAAGUAUUUGGUAGUUCUGGCCGACAUCUUUCUUUUUUCCUGUCCAAUCUACAUACCACCAUCAAUGGAGAUAAAACUGUUGGACUCCUGCAAGCGUCAGAUGCUAGUCCCUGUCCUCGCCAACCCUCUUCCUUUGUUACCAGGGCAUCACACAGAGAAUCGCACAUGGAAAUGUUGAGCCUAGGAAUAAGGUUCAAACAAAAAGAAAGGAACAAAAAUGAAAGCAAUCAAACAAUUCAAUCCCAUUCAACCAGAAUCGGCCAUCAAAACCUGCUUCAUGUAUAUGGUCUAGAUGCAUUGAUGAAGGAAUGGAUGUCAUCAACUGUGUGAUGGAAAUUGAAGUGGGCUAUCCUGCGAGUCCCAUCAGCCAACCUAAG